GUGUAGAAGUAAUAGGAUGGGGCUUUCCAGACGGCACAGACAUCUGCUGGGGAGAGAGGCCGGAUCCAUGUGAGCCCCUCAUCGGUCACUGACUGCCCCCUAAACGGAGAGCGACCCCCAUCAUUGCACGGAGGCGGCCGGUGUGUAGAAGUAAUAGGAUUACUAGAAGAUUUGGACCAUAGUUGAUGGUAACCAUGGCUGGUUGGUGGUGGAUCGCUGUUCUUCUGGUGACUUCUGUGAGCGGCCGUGUCCCAGUGGAUUCCCUCACAGACCCUCAGACAGAGGCGGUCAGACUGGUCCGGGAGGAUUUCCACAAGAGCAACAAGGUCAAAAAUGCGUUCCAAGUGUCCUCCAUGCUGGCCGCAACGCAACAGGAAAACUUUGAUGUUAAAGGAACAUUUGUUAAAGUAAGAUUCAUCAUGAAACAGACAAAUUGUCAGAGACGCGACUGGAUGAACCGAAAGUGCGUCCCCAUAAUGACAGCCAAGGUGAGGGGCGGAAAUAUAUACCGCUUUAUAUCUAUAUUGU